GGACGAACGCUGGCGGCGUGCUUAACACAUGCAAGUCGAACGAAAAUACCAAGCUUGCUUGGUUGAUUAGUGGCGAACGGGUGAGUAACACGUGAGUAACCUGCCCCUUACUUUCCUGGAUAACUGCUCGAAAGGGUAGCUAAUACGGGAUAUUCUGACUGGUCCGCAUGGGUUGGUUUGGAAAGGUUUAUUUUCUGGUAAGGGAUGGGCUCGCGGCCUAUCAGCUUGUUGGUGGGGUGAUGGCCUACCAAGGCUUUGACGGGUAGCCGGCCUGAGAGGGUGGACGGUCACACUGGGACUGAGAUACGGCCCAGACUCCUACGGGAGGCAGCAGUGGGGAAUAUUGCACAAUGGGCGCAAGCCUGAUGCAGCGACGCCGCGUGAGGGAUGAAGGCCUUCGGGUUGUAAACCUCUUUCGUCAGGGAACAAGGCACUACGUUUUGGUGGUGUUGAGGGUACCUGGAUAAGAAGCGCCGGCUAACUACGU
rnacentral:rRNA from 1 species